UAUAAGCAUGAAAGCAAUUAAACAACAAUAUUUUUAAAGUUUUCCAAAAUAAAGAACAAUCCUAAAAUUACCAAACAUUGCAUAUAUUCCCCGACAACGACGCCAAAAUUUGAUAAGCGAAUCUGUCGCAUCCGUUAAUCAAAUUAUGCAAAUAUAUAUUCCACUCAACCCCUUAUCUACACAAUAAUGUUGUAGUAACGAGCCCAGGAUCGAACCUCGAGGAACAAACGAUAGGAUGUAAUCUUAGGAUCGUAUUUAUUCCUAUUUUUGGGAUUUUUAAUAUGAAAAUGGGGGUUUGAACUUUGAAUCUAAAUCUAACAAAAUUAAAGAACAGAAAAUAAGAACUAAUCUAAUGCAUAAAGUAAACCUAACUAGGUGUCACCGAUUAGUCCAAUACGCAUUGUCACACUACGUAAUGAAUUUCAUCAACAACACACUAAAACUAAGGUAUGAAAUAGCUGGACAAUAAUGAAACCUAAUCUUAAGCAACAAUUACAAUCUUAACUACCGAAACUAAACCACUCAACAGUGCUACAAUUAAGCUAAAGCAGAAUUAAGAACAAUUUCAAACUCUAUUGAAACUAAAUUACCCAAUGCACUUGAAUUAAAACAAUUAAUCUAAAGAACUAUGAUUACUGAAUCAAAAUAUAAUAAACUGAAAUGUAAAUCUAUCAAUAGUAAAAAGAAUGCAAAAGUUAAAUCCUAAACCAUCUCAACACUAAAUCUCUUCUCACGGCAACUUCUCCUUGCUGUCACACAAGGAAACAACAGAGAACACUCCAACUGUAAUCGGGGAAGACAACCUCAGCAACUAAACUCAGCUCAUCCUUCACCAGCACCAUCGGAGACCACUCCAAACAAAUCUGAUUAAGAUCGAUGCUGCCAACCUCAGGAAAUCUGCAAAUCUGCGACUGCAACCUCAUUGUUUUAGUUUUUCUAUAAUUCUUGUGAAUACAAUCUAGCUAUUUAGUAAUGGAAGCUUAAGAAGUUGCAGAAUCAGGAAGAGGAACAAUUUCAGAAUGUAGAAGCAGUGACGUAUCAAAACUGAUAGUAUACAAAUUCAGAUUCCAAAAGUUAGGAAGAUGCAGCAGUGUGUGAAAUGCUAGUGUGCCAAAUUUUGUUGUUGAAACUGAUGUCUGCAAUCAGAACUCUGAUUCUGAUUUCUGUUGGUCUACAAAAUUGCAAGUGAUGUUGAAUUGUUGUGUGUCAAACUUAAAUUGUAAAUUCCUAAUCAGUAAGAAUCUUGGGAGAACACUUGAGUAGUCAUAGAUGAAACCUUUGUUCAGCUGAAUUCCCCACACUUAAACAAGUUCAGAAAUAUGAAUAUGAAUAUGAAUUUGAAUUCAGAAAAACAAGUUUAGAAGUGUAAUUCAGUUUCAAAACUUGAGAUUCAACAUAAUUCUCAAGACUCAAGGAUACAGAAACAUGGCAAAGCAAUCAGAUUCAAAGAUGUAAGUUAAGUGUUUAUAUGCUAAUGCUGAGAAUGUUCCUGAAUAGCACUCUUUAAGGGUCUAGAUCUUAAUUCUGGAAUCAAAGAUUUAAGUCUGAAAUUCUAUAGAAAUGCAUAAACUUGAUGCUGUUUCUAACCAUGCAACUCAUUUAGUUGAUUCUCCUAUCUAUUCAAUGCUAAUUGUUAUGCUUCUCUCUGGAAGAUACUGGUAAUUCAAGCUUGGAAAUUUCCUAAAAUCAGGAUUCUAUAACUUCAUUGAAACUGAUCCAGUGAAAUGAAUCAAUGAUUUCUUCAGAAUUGUUGCACAGCCAAAUGAUACUCUUUCCUAAGCUAAACCCUUCAAGUCUUAACCUGAAGCUCUCUGAGAAUUGUUUUCUUGAACUUAAAAUGUGCUCAAUAAAGCGUGACUUGGUGGAAUUCUGGAGCUAAAUCUGUGCAACCGAUUUUGAUCUGUUAAAUUCAAUUGGAAUGUUCUUUUAGAUUAACUUCUUCAAAUUUGUUUGCCUUAUUCAAAUUCCUGAAAUUUUGAAAACUUGAGAUAGCUCAAUUGGUUAAGCUUUAAUGAAUCUGAUCUCUGGAAUUCUGAAUUGCGUUGAAUUUAUUGAGCUAGAAUUGAUGAAACUUGGAAUUCUUUCAAGUAUGCAUUGAUAGUGACCUUAAGAAGUAAGAUGAAGAAAUAUUAAGAUUUUUGGUGGCUAAACAAUGCAAAAUUGAUACAAAGUCAGAAUUCUGUAUAAGGAUCCAGAUCUGAAAUUAACUGUGCUACUUGGGGUUAGAUUUGUGCCAUUGAACGAAAAUGUGAUUAAGCCUUGCUUUAGAUUAAAUGCAAAAGAGGAUGAAAAUAAAAAGAAAAUUGAAGAAAAGAGAGUGCAAAUGAAAAAGGAAUUGGCUAUUUUCUGAAAUUGAUACUGGGAAUUUGUUUCUGAAUAUGGUUUGUUAGUUCAGUUAUGGAAUUGGCUUAUGCUGGAAUUUGAAUCUAAAAAAUCAUAAAUAGAGAAAGUGCAGGAAACAUAAGUGCAGAACAUAGAAUUUGAAAUGCUGAAAUUGAAUGCAGAAAGGAAUUCUUAUUUCUGAAUUGUAUCAAGCUGUUACAAUGUUUCUUGAUCAGUAAGAGUUCAAGUAAGUCUUUGAUUUGUAAUGCAAUUGAAAAUCAGGAAUCAAAUGCAGAAUUCAUAAUGCAAUUUUAUUUCUAGUCAAGGCUGAUUCCUGAAUUUGAUGUUCAUCUAAGAAUUUGCUAGACAAUUUUUGCAACUCAUAGAACAAAUUCAGAAAUCAGCUAGCAUGAAUUAGAUAAUGAAAUCAGGGGAUGCUGGAAUUGGGAACAGAGCUGCAGAAUGGCUGUGAUUUCUGCAAAAUGUGAUUCUAGUGUCUGCAGAAAUGAAGAUAGCUGCUGUACAGGUAUCAUCUCUUGUACCAAACUCUUUGAAGCAGAUUUCAAUUAAUUGAGUAACUCAAUUAGUUGGAAUUCAUGAGCUCCAACAAAAACAAUUAUUGCAAUGUUCCAUGUCAACACUCUAAAAGGUUGCUCCUAUACUUUUAUCUGAUUUGUUUCUGCUGCAAUUGGGAGAACUUGUAACUACAGAACACUUCAGAAACAGAGGAAGAGAAUCAUUCCUCUGCAGAAAUGGAACUUAUGCAACAAUUCUGAAUUUACAAUUCAGUAUCAGAAUUUAAUAUGAAGAUGAAGAGUGUGUUUGGAAAUUGAAUGAAUUUAAAAUCAGUAGUAUGCUAAUGGUGACUGAAUUACCAGCUAGUAACUAGAAACUUGCAGAACCUGGAAUUUUCCCAGCUGUGCUACUGUGGUGAGUGCUGAAUUUCUGGAAGUUGCUGAAAUAUUUUCCUUACACUUAAGUUCAUCAAGACUUAAACUUGAAACUAACACUGAAUCUGAUUUCUGGAUUUGAAUGCUGCUGAAAGAAGUUUGUAUUUUCCUGGUUCUGAAACUGAGCUACAAAUUUCAAUAUUUGUAUUUUGGAAUCUGAUGUUGGGUAUUUUGGAUUGGAUUCCUGGGUUUCUGAGCUUGUGUUAUAAUUGGUUUUGAAUUAUUAUUCCAUCACUUAAUGUGUUGAAAAAUUCAGAAUUAUGCAUUGCACAGGAUUGAAAGAAAAUCAGAAUUCAGAUUCUGAAAUUUUAGUGGUUGUUUCUGUCCAACUUAAAUGUUGGUUUUCAAUAUCCUGUGAUGUUCCAUACGUUCCAUGAAGUCACCCUUAUUGACUCAAAAUCUGUGAAAUGUGUAGAGGUUGACAUGCAGGAACAAUUGUUCUAAGUCCAAGUGCCAAGUUCUUUGCAGAUUUCUGAUUUGUGUGUGCCAGCUUUGUAUUGAGCUCCACACUAACUCGAGGUCAUUCAUAAGCAGGGAGGGAAGUGACAAUAGCUAGGGCUGUAAAUGAACCAAACAUUCGUGAACAAGCUUGGUGUUCGGCUUGAAAUCAGAUGUGCUUGAUAAGAUAAGCAGGGAAGGGUGGUUCCUUUGUCUAAACAACUUGUAUCUUCAUUGACUUACGAUUCCAGCAAUUGAUAUUCCAGAGCUAAUGAAACCCUGUCCAAACUUGUGACACUAAUUUCUGAAGAUACUCAGUCUUACAAGAAAUGAGUAAAGUAGUUGGUUAAGGAAAGUGGCAUUGGAGGUGUUUUCUUGCAACAUGAUAAGGAGAUAAAUCAAGAUAAUGGAUAUUCUGUUGAUUUCCAAUUUGUGGAUUACUUGUUCCUUCAAUUGAUGAGCCGGCAGUUUAUAAAUGAAAUGUGAUGCAGUUGAGAUGCAGGAUUUGGGAAGCAUGCAUAAGGUGCAGAAAUUUAUCAAUGAAAUGAGGAAUAUGUUGUAUUCUGGAUUUAUGGAAAUUUGAUGUUGGAACCCUGUUUCUUGCUGAUUCUUAUUGCUGCUUAGUUCAACUAAGGUCUUCUUAAUUGCUGCUGGCAGUAUAUCCAUAAAAGCUGCAAAUGAAGAUAAGUAAAGAGUGGCUGGAAGUGUAUCAAAUUUCUGAAUGCAAGAUUUGUUUUAUUGUCCGAGACGACCAACAAUUUAAGUGUGGGGGAGGGAGCUCUUCUCUAUAAGAUGAUUGUGAUUUAAGAUUGUUUAGAUUUCAAAGUGCUGGAAAUGAAGUAAAAAAAACAGUGAAGAAAAUUUUUUUGGCAAAUCAAAGUAUAUCAAAUGUGGAGGUAGAGUAUCAAGAUUUUUGGCUGACCAUCAAAUUGAAGGGGAGGUUAGCUUGAUCUUUUGAAUUGGUAACGACAAAUGGUACCAGGUUGGUUAUGAUGUCGCUUGGAGUAUCCUGGCUGCUGGUCCCCACGUC